rnacentral:tRNA from 1 species
UCCCCUGUGGUGUAAUCGGCAACACGGGUUACUUUGGAUAACUUGUUCCAGGUUCGAGUCCUGGCAGGGGAGCAA